CUCAGGACGAACGCUGGCGGCGUGCUUAACACAUGCAAGUCGAACGAUGAAGCCCUUCGGGGUGGAUUAGUGGCGAACGGGUGAGUAACACGUGGGCAAUCUGCCCUUCACUCUGGGACAAGCCCUGGAAACGGGGUCUAAUACCGGAUAACACCGGCUUCCGCAUGGGAGCUGGUUGAAAGCUCCGGCGGUGAAGGAUGAGCCCGCGGCCUAUCAGCUUGUUGGUGGGGUAAUGGCCUACCAAGGCGACGACGGGUAGCCGGCCUGAGAGGGCGACCGGCCACACUGGGACUGAGACACGGCCCAGACUCCUACGGGAGGCNNNAGUGGGGAAUAUUGCACAAUGGGCGAAAGCCUGAUGCAGCGACGCCGCGUGAGGGAUGACGGCCUUCGGGUUGUAAACCUANNNUANUGUAAACCUCUUUCAGCAGGGAAGAAGCGAAAGUGACGGUACCUGCAGAAGAAGCGCCGGCUAACUACGUGCCAG
rnacentral:rRNA from 1 species